UACGGAGGGGGCAAGCGUUGUUCGGAAUUAUUGGGCGUAAAGAGUAUGUAGGCGGCUAUUUAAGUCAGGCGUGCAAGCCCACGGCUCAACCGUGGAAUUGCGUUUGAAACUAUUUAGCUUGAGUACAGGAGAGGAAGGCGGAAUUCCCAGUGUAGCGGUGAAAUGCAUUGAUAUUGGGAAGAACACCGGUGGCGAAGGCGGCCUUCUGGCUCGACACUGACACUGAGGUGCGAAAGCGUGGGGAGCAAACAGG
rnacentral:rRNA from 1 species